UGGAGCAAUUCUGUAUCAGAACCAGGUGGGAAGCUACAAACUCUCCCCAAACACUGUCAUUUCUGCGAAUGUGCCAACCACAGUCCUGAGGGGAGGGGUGUCUGCGCUCCUGGGACUUCCACUCGUCCUCCAAACAGCUCUCCGUCACACAGCAGUCACAGCAGGCCUGCGUCCAACACUGUAGGAGCCUCGAAGUGCCCCCUUUACCUGAGUGCCCAGCCCCCAUCCCUGCUCCCUGAAUCAAGGGCAGAGAGAAAAGCUUAGGCAGUGUUCCUAAUGUUGCAACAGCCGCAACACUAUUUCAUAACUCUAACUUGCUACAGCUAUGAAUUGUAAAUAUGGUACGGGACCCCAGCUGAGAACCGGCAUUUAAAGCAGGUGCAGCAGAGGAGGGAUCAGGGGUGAGAGAAAGCUACAAAGAAAGGUCCUGGUUUCUCUUCUUCCAUGGGCUGUCCUGGGUGUGUUUGCAAAGCAAAGGAAUGGAUGGGAAGAGAGUGCAUAGAGGCCGAGACAGGACAUGCAUGCUUGCAUUUCUGCUGCAGUCUGUGGUCCAAGCAAGUGACCAAACCAUCACUCAUUCAUGAGGAAGAGAUCACAUCUCUAUUGUCAGGAUCUGCCAAGCAACAUUGUGCAGGUGAAAAACUGGGUGACCCCUCCCCAAUUUGUCAUCUAUGUCUAUGCCCUGUCAUCACCAUGACUCUCCUGGGGAUAGUCCCUCUCCCUAGUUCCACUUGAUAAGGCCAGAUGAUCACUUAUGGAGUCUAUCUCAGACCUGCCUCAGUUAUAGGUACAUGACUAACACUGGGUCAAACUGGCCCCUGGCCUGAAUUUGUGUGCAAACACUGGGAAAGAGACAUUGAUCCUCUGCAGUUUCUGUUCCACACAAGGACUGGGGGUGCUAAGCUAAGAGGAUUUGUAUUAAAGGAUGCAAGUCACCCCUUUUCCCAGUUUGCAAAAGUGAGCAAGCCAAAAGAUUGAGAGUUUGGAGGGCAUGUCAAACCUUGAGCCUAGCCAAGGGUCUGUCCCGGGCUUCUGGUUAUAGGGACAAGAAACCUGUCCCUCCCUCACCCCAUGUAUACCUUUUGAUCUACAUUUCCAGGCCUGGCUGGCUGGGGAUUCAAGGCAAAAAUCCGAGGUGAAUAAUGAUGAAUUUGAAGUAGAAGACAUAGGUAAACAAAAGAGGAAGAAAUACGAGGAAGUAUCAAAAGAGAAAGUGUGUGACUCAUGUGUUGGUAACAUUGUUUUAAAUACACAGGUUUUGUUGUUGUUUAUUUGUUUUGUUUUCACCAGAAGUAGCUUCAGCAUGCCAGCCUUGCGGGCAGGUCAUCUUGGCUUCUGAGUCCACAGCUGCUUUGAUGCCAGUGGGACCCAGACAAAUUACAUCUUAACUUCUCCUUGCCUCAGUGUCUACAGCUCUAGGAUGAGUUAAAGCAAACAUCAGCUUCAGGGUCUAGUGUGAAGAUUACCAAAGUUAUGGACAUCAAAGAUUAGCAGAGUGCCUGGCUCCAGGGAGUAUGGAUUGUUCAAAAUUUUGUGUGAGAAACUUGAAAGCACUGGGAUUGAGCGGAAUUUAGUCCCUUCCACUGAGCAGGCAAGUACCCUACCAGUGAACUAUAUUUGGACUGGAAAAUUUCUUUACAACAAGAGGCUUAUUUUUGUGUUCAACUUUAUAUUCUUAUUGUCAAACAGGGCUGGGUUUAGUAUGUGCUUGUGAAAUAUGAUAUUAGGCACACACCAAUGUUUUAUGCUCUUUUCUUCCCUUACAGUCAGAGUUCCUCAUUCUUGUUCACCUUUCAUUCAUGAUUUACUCUGCAUGUGCUCAUGGCAAAUGAACCCACCCAAGAUGCUCCCUCCAGCUGAUGGAGAAUCUGCCCUGGUUGGAGCAGGUUGAAGGCCCUGUGUCCUGAAGCAGAUCUCAGGCUUAAAGGUGAAGACAGACUGUAAUCACAAAGGUUAUCAACAGGUAACAAAAGGAGAGGUGACAGCAACUGUGCAGGUAAUCUGUGUGGAACACACCUGUUCCCACGUGAAGAGCUGGAGAGAAUCUCCCCCUGAGUCUGUGUUUCCUUUGUUGAUUGGUUGGAUGUUUUCCCCUCAAAUGAUGGGGAAGCCUAUAGGUUCUGGGUCCAGCAAUUGAGCAGAGCUUUAGCGACAGGAGGAGACUGGCAGUAACUGGGGGCCGCCAUGAGCUGGGCUGUCCUGUAAUGAGCAAUUUCUUCUUGUUGUACCACGACCAUUCACCAGCGUAAAAAAAUGAAGAUCUGGUCUCUAUGUAGACGUGGCUUCUACACUGCUUCUGGGCUCUUCUGCACAGGAAAUAUGUGCACAUUUUGUCAAUAUUGAGAUAUAGGCUACUUUUACUACAGGAAUGAUGAAGUUGACACUUAUGUUGACCUUGUGCUAAUAGACUGUUCAUUUUGGUAUAAAUGAUAUUAAAUAUAGGUUGGUAUGCACAUAUGCACUAUAAAAUUAUUAAGAUAGAAUAGUAUUUUUCAUUAAAAAUUCUAACAAAAUUGUUAAAUUUAGUCUCUAAGUCCAUUGGCUAUCAGACUUAAUAUUACCAAAAUAUAACCUAUAUAAUUAAGUUUCUGGCAUAUGCAACAUGAUAAAAACUCAUUUUUAUGGAUUUGAGGCAUUAUUUUUAAAAAUAUAUGAUGUUUGUGUUUAUAAAUAAGACCCAUACUUUGUCUGAAGUAUACAUAUAAAUUUACAUAGAGCUUGUAAAAAUAAAUCUUAUAAGAAAGAUUUGUACGAAGCUAGGUCCAUAAUAACCAAAAUGUUGUCUAUAAGGAAAUUUUCAAUGCAUCGUAUUAAAGCAGCAUGGCUCUCUUAAAAGAUUGGUGUACCAAUAGCUAAAUUUAAAAAAGGUCACUGUCUCGCUGUGUAAACUGUCCAUAGCAGCACAGGGUAGCUCUCACACUAAUUAGCACACACAAAGUUAAUUAAUACCCUGGACUCCAGGUCAAAGGCUCACUGGCUGAGUGGGGCCAUGAUAAAGAGAGCCACAGAGGACCCGAGGCCAGGCCAAGUGAAGAUGGCACACCCAGUACACACUUGGCACACCCAGUACCCAAGGGCUGAGUCUACCCAGCUUAGUACAUUGUCACUAAGGGAAGAAGGGCUUUCCGUGGCCUCCUCUUCUGAUUUUUUCCAAUACAAGCCAUAAAUAAAGAUUCCUAGUGCAAAACUUUCUAAUGUUUGCAACUAAGUUAUUAUAAGUGAAAGUUGAGAGAGCCAGAUGUUGUCACAACUAGGCUUGCGAUCCUGGGCACUAAUUUGUUCCUUGCACAUAGAGCGUUGCUGUAUAAAAUAUGCAUCCCAGUAACUCUUACUUUGAAGGGAUAAAAAUGAAAAUUAUGAGACUAUGACUGCUUGUAGCUAAAAAUAAAGAUCGGUCUGUACCCCAA